GGUGCCCCCAAAUCCAUGCCUAGGUUCCCUUCCUUCCAACCCUGUGACUGGCUCAGAUUUCCAGCAACUGGCACAUGGGUGACUGGGAGUAGAAGUAUGCAGAUGAAUGUUUGUCCUCUAAGCUUUGCUGAGGACCAUCCUGCUCCAACAGUCACCUCUGCCCCUUGUUUCUGGCACCAAGAUGCCUGCCAGGAGGAAGGGACUGGGCAGGGGAGGAAGUCCAGGCCACCACAGCAAGCACGGGCGGCUGAUUUCCAAGAAACUAGCAAGGGACAGGAAAGUCUAGGCAAGGCUGUCAGACGGCUUUUGCUUUCAGUUUUCAGGGUCAGAUCGGAGCGGGUGCCCAGACUUCUUGACUGAGCAGCGCAGGGCGCUCUGUUUUAUGGGAUCAAGGCCACAGCAUCUCUAAUGGUCGCCACGAAGCCCAGAGCUAGGCACUGGGGGCUGGGACUGUGGACUGGCUCUGACACCGUUCUGUCCCUUAUCUGUUUGCCCUUUCUCUUAUCUGCACCCCGAAUCAGUCGGCUCAUCCCUCGUUUAUUCAUGCCUGCCUCCCUCCUGCCACGUGUCCCACACUCUAUCUUCAGUUUUUCCUUCUUCGGUCUUAUCUCUCUCUCUCUCUUCCUGCUCUCCUCAGCUUCCUCCCCUCCUCCCGAGUUUCUCCUUCUUCCCCUUGCUUCCUUUCCCGCAUUCUCCGUCCUUCCUCCCUCUCUGACUCUUUCCCUUCUGCUUCCCUACAUCUCUCCCCCCCCCCACAUCUCUGUCUCCCCCACCUCUCUUCUCGGUCCCAGAUUUCACAGACUCCAUUACUCAGAGGAGACAGUUUUGUAUGUUUCCUUUUUUUUUUUUUUUUUUUUUGGUUCUUUUUUUCGGAGCUGGGGACCGAACCCAGGGCCUUGUGCUUCCUAGGCAAGCGCUCUACCACUGAGCUAAAUCCUCAACCCCUGUAUGUUUCCUUUUUGAGAUAGGGUCUCACGGAGUACAGGCUGACGUCGAACUUACCAGAUUAGGAAAUCCCCCCGGGCAUGCUGUGAAACAACUUGUCUGUUCACCUAUGUCUGAAGGAGAGCCUGCUUCUGACCUGUGACGUGAGAUGCCAACAGUGCCAUGUGCCAAUCAGAAGGCCCAGGCGACGGGUGACUGUUUUAAAAGGUGGCCUGAACUGGUGAGUACCAGGACAAGCCAGGCGGCAAUGAGGCCUCAGCCUGUUUCCCAGGCAGGUCCAAGUGUUAAACAUGGUUCCCUACUAGCCCCGCCACCUGGAAUCUUGUGCUGGGGGUCUGCACAGCACCAGUAGUAUUCUCGACAUGAGUCUGCCCUUUGCCCUGCUAGACUGAAAAGCAGCAAGAGGAGAACCUCAUUCAUCCACACAGCAGGGUUGGGGCUAAACAAGAAGGAAAAGAGGACCAACAAGACAAGUCCUCCAUGCUCUCACCACACUUCUCUGAAGGACCGGCCACCCUGGGCUAGAGGACCACAGCCCUUCUAACGUUCCAGAGAAAACCUGGACAGUAUCAGCAUGCCCAGAGCAGCUGCUUCCUCUGACAGGAUCAUGAAGCAUUAGGAAAAUCACUAGAAGCAUGUCACAGGCUGCAGGAGUCCCAGAUGAUGUGGGAUAUGCCCACAAGGUUACUUAGCCCCCCUGAUGACCGGCAAGCCUCAGAGCCAGUGCCCUACAUGUGUCCUGGAACAGCCCUUCCAGCUGGGCUCCUGACGGUAUAAUUGCUUCAGAGACCCACAGAGGCGAAGGGAAUUGCCCAAGCCCCCAGCAGCACCCAGGGCCCUGCCACCACAGACCACAAAGCAGCUUUCCGGCUCCAAAAAAGCACACAGGCUGAGUGGGGAGAGGAGCAACAACCAGAGCGGCUCAUCGUCCCCACUGAAAUACUUGAUGGCUUGCAGAACUGCCACUUCUUCCAAAAACUCGGUGAGCCCUGGCCGCUCUGCCCCACCCUCUUCCUGGAAGUAGUUGUGGUCAGAGAAGCAAAGAAGUUUCCUCUCUGUCAUCCAUUUCAAAUUGAUACAGGAUGGACAGUUAAAAGGCCCACCUCUCCACUCCAGGAGCGGCCUAUCACCAAUUACCUGUCUCUCAGUUUUCUCCUCUGUAUACUGGGGGCAACACAGUACUCAGGGUCAAGGGCUGCCCCUGUAGGGCUCAAGACCAGGCAUGAUACUCAGGGGAGCUCAGACUGGAGCGGCCAUCUUCCCAAUCAUAAACCAAAACUAGCCUGGAAGUUUGGUUCCCAGUACUGUGGGUGGAGCUGUACAAGAUGCCUGGUCCCCAGCAUCCCCAAGACUUCAAGAAAGUCAAUCUGUAUACCGCCGCUCCCAACCCAGGACGUUUGGCCAAAGCAUACAUACGCUCUAGAAAUCUUUGUUUCUUUAAAAAAAAAACUUUCAUAAUAAAGUUUAUUAUCUAAA